AGUGAACGCUGGCGGUAGGCCUAACACAUGCAAGUCGAACGGCAGCACAGUAAGAGCUUGCUCUUACGGGUGGCGAGUGGCGGACGGGUGAGGAAUACAUCGGAAUCUACUUUUUCGUGGGGGAUAACGUAGGGAAACUUACGCUAAUACCGCAUACGACCUACGGGUGAAAGCAGGGGAUCUUCGGACCUUGCGCGAUUGAAUGAGCCGAUGUCGGAUUAGCUAGUUGGCGGGGUAAAGGCCCACCAAGGCGACGAUCCGUAGCUGGUCUGAGAGGAUGAUCAGCCACACUGGAACUGAGACACGGUCCAGACUCCUACGGGAGGCAGCAGUGGGGAAUAUUGGACAAUGGGCGCAAGCAUGAUCCAGCCAUACCGCGUGGGUGAAGAAGGCCUUCGGGUUGUAAAGCCCUUUUGUUGGGAAAGAAAAGCAGCAGGUUAAUACCCCGCUGUUCUGACGGUACCGAAAGAAUAAGCACCGGCUAACUUCGUG
rnacentral:rRNA from 1 species